GUGGGCGCGCCUGAGGCGGCCGCGACCGGCCGGGGGUCCGGGAGGGCUGUCCCGGCUGCGCGACGUCUGCCAACUCCCUCCCGCCCUGCCCGGGCGCCAACGCUCCAGCCCGCCCUUGCAUAUCCUCGUUUAGGAUCCCGAAAUCACCUUUCCCGCGUGCCCUGGAUUUAAUCUCCCUCCGUCCCACACGAUGCCCGCAGCGGCGUGCCCUACAUAACAUGGGCAGGGAGAAGGACUUCACUGCGGUGCUGCUAUGGGCGGGCUGCUGGGGGAAGGGAGGAAAGGCCGCCUUUCCAAAUUAUGAUCACAAGAAAUCCUUGUGAUUCUCCAAGCUGCCCUCUUGCUCUAGCAGCAGGGAUGCCGUGCUGGGAUUUAAGCUUCUGAACACACGAACGGAGCAAAUAUUGCCAAGUUCGUUCCCGAGAGCACAGACGGAUACUGAGGAGCAUCUCCCACAGAACUGAUAAAUUCGCAGAAGGGGCAUAUGCUGCAGCCACAGGCUUCUCCUGUCAGCAGUGGCUGCUCUUGACUCUGCAGGAUGGGCUGCAGCGAACCUACCAUACAGUGCUUCGAGCCGGGAAAGGGAAGGGUUGUGCUCCCCUGGGAUAGGCUCGUCUGCAUCCAACAGAGCCGCGGGAGCCAGAGCAGAGGCGCCGCCAUACGUGCCAGCAGAAAAAAAGACAUCUUCCUCUCAGUCACCCAAGACCAUUCACAUUGGCAGCGCAGCCAUUACUUGGAAAUUUCCAUACCUCCUCACGUGAGACAUCUUCUGUUGCACAUCCUACAAAUCAAGCCUACUCCUCAAAGUCUGUGUGGAGGCUCCAGGCCCACCCGCAGGGUUUGGUUCUUUCACCAAACUCAGCUUGGUCUUCAAGGGAGCAGCCCUCAAAGCACUGCACCGUGGUGGAAGGGAAAGGGAUGGGGCACCUGGCCAUGUUGGGCAUGGGGCUUACAUCAUAUUGCUGUGGGAAGUUGCGGAUGGAAGGCAGUGGCCGGACUGACACCCACUUCUUCUUAGCUUUGGACAUCACCAGCAGGACACGGCGUUCCUUCGUCCAACUGAAGAAGAGAGAAUAAAUCAAGAGAGGCAUAAGAAAGAGCAGAACAAGGGUUCUUUACCUCAGAAACCCUUAAAUAUUGAGAGAUGAGCAGAUCCUCCUGUCCAGCUUGUCCCUGCACUAUCUGUCUGUUCCUAGACACGCACAUCUGUGAUGGAGAAGACACAAGAUGGCUGUUUUAGGAGGACUUCUCCCUGUACAUAUUACCUAUUUCCUGGGGUACCUUUUUUCAUAAAACCACAAAAAUCUCCCCCAAAUCUCACAUGGCAUCACCACAAAUUAUUAAACAGCUGCAUUCCACCCUUUGACACAGCCAAUUCUUGUGCAAUCAGAUCCAUGAAAAACACUUGGGAAUAUUUUCUGUUUGAAAGGUGCAAUAGAAAUGCAAGUCAUUACAAGCACUGCCUUAUGAACAGUGCCAGGAAGUAUUAAUUCUCCUGCAGCUCCAGCAAGUGAUCACCAGGAGAUACCCUGAGCAAAAACCCCAGCUCUAUUCAGCAGCUGCACAAAGAGGUGUUACUUUUUUCCCAUCCCAGGAAGCAAUCCUCACCUGCUUACUUCCUCCAGAAACUGCUGCUUCUGUCUCUUCUUCAACAAAAGUGUUACAUUUGCAAUAGGAAGCUGGACUGUGCCUUUGUGGCUUGUGUUAUGGGAAGAGAAGUCCUAUAAACCCUUCCAUCCUAUCCCUGCAGGCUGCCUGGGUGAGACAGGCCAGUUUCCAUGACCAAACAGUGACUUCCCAGCCAAUAUUUCUCUUCUAGAGGGCUUAUAAAAGAGAUGGGGACACAUUUUUUAGUAGGGCCUGUAGUGUUGGGACAAGGGGUAGUGGCUUGAAACUGAAAGAGGGUGUAGAUUCAGACAAGAUAUAAGAAAGGAAUUUUUUAUGAUGAGGGUGUUGAAACACUGGCACAACCCAGACAGGUGGCAGUGCCCCAACCCUGGAAACAUUCAAGGUCAGGCUGAGCAACCUGAUCUAGUUGAAGAUGUGCCUGCUCAUUGCAGGACGGCUGGAUUAGAUGACCUUUAAAGGUCUCUCCCAAUCCAAAGCGUUCUAUGAUUCAAUGAUUCUAUCACACCAAACAUUCUCAUGGGCCCAAGGAGUCAAGAGGUGCAAACAGACAUGACAUGCAUCACAGAGGAGCAACCAAAGCAAUGAAGGAGCCAAGGGAAACUGAUUUAAAAGGAAGGAGAAUACCUUGAAUCAUUGCUAAUUGUGACCUGACAGACAUCUGCAAACAGCUAAGAGUAUAAACACGUGCAGAGGAGAACUCUGUUAGUGACCUUACUAAGAAGAAAUGAUAGGAACUAGGAGAAAAGGGAAUUGUGGAAGCUGGAUUGCAUGUGCCAGGAGUAACAGUCUGCACGAUGCUGGCAGCAAAUACACACAGUAAAGAGGGAUGGAAGCUGGAAAACAGCUAUCUGCAAUGCCUGCUAUAGUGACAAACACCCUGAGCAGUGAGAGGCUGCUAGGGAACCUUACAGACUCUUCCAAAGAUGCCAAAUGAAUCCCUGGAGAAGGCAGGAUGAAAAAUUCCUGCCCUUGAAGAGGGGUAGAGGAAAGAGAAGGUUGCAUUGCUCACCAGUGGGGGGCUUUGGCACUACAGUACUUGAGGUCUUUAUCUGGCUCCACCAGCUGCCCGUUUCUCCAGCACUGGCCACAUACAAAUUUCAUCUGGAGGUCAAAGGUGCUUGAUGUGGGAGUCCGGGGAGAAGCCUGGGGAAAAGAACCACAGCCUCAGGCGAACAGAGGCAAAAUGCACCCCCCAAACCUGCCGCGGAGAUGCUGGCAGCUCCCUGCACGCCUGUGUGCCAGCGACAAGCCAGAUUAAAUCAGCUCUCUUUUGCCAGUGUUAGCUGGUGGCCCGAUGAGAUACCAGACAGGAGCAAAACCACUGCUUGCUUCAGCAUGAUUUCCUGGGCUUUGACAUCUGGCCAAAAGCACAGACAGCCUGGCAGCUUCCAGCACUGACCAGGCCUGGCUGUGAAACCCCUGCAGCGUAUCUCUGUGUACAGACAAACUCUGUGAGACCUGCCCCAGAGCUUAAUCCCCACUUCCCUGCAGGGAGGGCAAUCCAUGUCCCACUCUGCCUGUGGAAAGCAUUCGGUCACACAGCUGGAAGAGCCCCCUUGGGAGGAAGCUGGACCACGUCAUAACGCAGGACGCAAAACUUCUGAUUUUGGACCAAGAAGCUCAUGUCACACCUAACAUUUGACACCAUGAAGUCAGAGCUGGGUCCUCUUCUAGAUAUCCUUCCAAGCCGUUUCUGGGCAGGUUUCCAUCUCUCACAGUUCCUCUGCAUUGGGUUUCACAGGCAGUUAAAUCACAGACUCCGGACAGAGGUACAAUGCACAUAUUUCACAUCUUCUCAGCCACUGCACUUUUCGCCCCCACCCCACCUGAGAAGGCUGGUUUGGGAUUAUGACUAAUGGAUUGUGGAGAAGGAAAAAGAAAAGGAGCCAAUCUCAUAUCCCUGCUGCCUCAUGUUUUCUCAGCAAAUCUCUGGAAAACUGUUUGCAUUCUGUAUCACCACUGGAAGAACAUGAGGCUGGUGUCUCCAGUUCAUUUCCAAACCAAAGAAUAAACCCGACUGGAUGCCAGGGGCCCUGAGCACGGGAGUAUGUGAGAGUACAAGAGAACACCCUGGCCAUCGAGCUGGCCAUGAAGCACAAAGGUCAUGCACUAGCAAAACAAUUCUGUGACUGUCAGCCACAUCAGCAGCCUGUCCCAUCUGCCAUGCCUUGACUCUAACCCGAGCAUCUCACAAUAAACAGACACGCAAGCCAUGUCCCUGAAAGCAGGUUUCUGCCAGCAAUUGAUUAGCAGCAGCAUGGAGCCUGGCUGCAUCCCUUCGUGAAGGGAAAACAGCAAGCACAGGCAACACAGAAUCAAAGCACUUCCCAGGAGACACCACAUCAGCUAUCAACUACCACUCUGCAUCCUCCAGACCUAGUCCUUUGUAGAACCAGAGCUGACAUAUAAAAGGUCCUCUGUCACUGUGGAAAGCUGACCGAGGAGCUGACCUUGCCUGUGCUGCCUACAAGGGGCCAUCAGUUCUCUGAUGUUCCAGCCAAAGGACCCUCCGAGAGAACCAGCAUCUCUUUUGAAAAGCAGCAGAGAUUCUGGCCUACUCAUCUGCAAGAAUGACCUUUCUGGUGGCUCCCAGCACAUGACUCAUUCAUCACUUGCUGUCAGCUGUCACCUGUGCUGGUGACCACCGAGAACACAUCAAAGUGGCUGGCUGUGGGAUGAACAGAGUUAAGACCUGGGCUACCAUGGAAGGCAAUAAGGUGCCUCCCUCUCAGAUGUGUGGCCUUUGAAUAGAAGUUUUAAUCUCCACUUGGUCUCCAAAGGAAAUUCCACUACAGCUCACUACUGACCCAUCAAACCUACAGGCCUAUGGUAACAAAAUGGCACUGCUGGCAUAUUCCCUUUUAUCCACCCCAUGCUAUCCUCCUGGUGACAUAUCUCUCAGCACUGCCAGGAAGCUUUGCUCAAACCUACUGACCCAGCAAAACUAAAAACUGAGUGUCUCCAGAAGGGACAAGAGAUCAGAGAGAAAUACCUCUCAGGUAGUUCUGGUAAUCUGGGCUGCUUUUUCCACAAAUUCUUAACCAAAAGAAGCCCCAUGCAUUUCUUCAUUGAGUUGCGCAGACUGCUGGUCAGUCAGUGGGCAUGUAUGCUCCCAGCGGAUUAGGAGCCAAGCAAAAAAUCAAAGCGGCUGCUGUUAAUGCUACAUGACUCUAUUUGUAAAGGCAAGACACAUACCUGGCAGGCUGCUGAUAACCAACAGUGUGGAAAUUAUAUCACAUGAGGCUCUAGCAGACGAAGCCAGGCAAAAGUGCCACAGGCUACGGCACCACCCCUUGCUGUGAAGCCAGACAGUAUAGUGCUAGCUAUGCACCAUGGCAACCAAAUAAAUACAAGUCUUUGGCACGACAGCUCUCUACUUCAGGCUCUGCAGAAAGCAACAGACCCUGCAUGGCCACUCAUGUCUCCCAGCUUCAGGAACCCCUCUCAGCAACACUGAUAUUUUCUCUGGAGGAGCCACAUGGCUCAGGGAGAGGAGGAGCCUAGGUUAUAUACGAGGAGCCUAGGUUACUCAGCUGAGUAACCUAGGUUACUCCAACUGAGUGAGCAGGACUUAGAUGCAAGUACUCCUUAUUGGAGACUUUUUUUCCUCUCCAUGCCUAAAUUGAUAAUUCUGAGGUCAGCUUUCAUGGGGGUUCUGCAGCUGGCUAGGGGAAUAAAAACAAAAUAGCUCUUGAAAACCAGAAAAAAUGAGGGCUAGAACCCCUCAGUUUGCAGGGAUGUGAUGGGAGGACAUCCAGCUCCCUACAACAGCCCCUCCUGCUGACCGGCUCUUCAAUCUGUGGCCACUGGGUUUACUCCUACAGCAUCUGCUGUGAGGCCCAAUUUGUGGGGCCAAGUGCAAGAUCGCCGGCAGGCGCUUGGCAAGCAAUGUAUCUCAAUUCUUCAUUUCUUGCUAAGCCUCCUGACCUUCACUGUCACAGCUACUGGGCCCCUGCAUGCUGCCUGCCUCUGUUCUCCACAACUGGACAGCCCCAGGUGCUGAGUCCAACUGGCAGCUGUGACAAAACUGCAGCAAAAUCCCCCAGAAUGACUUUGCUUCCGCUGACCAGAGGGCACUGGAGUGAGAGUGGAUCACACGGGAUGGUGGGAAGGAGGGGUCUGUUUUUACAGCACUCCUGGGAAGUUGUCUUUGCCAUGGAGCCAACUUUGAAAGCUGGAAGGACGCUGAGAAAACUCUGAGUCACGUUAGCCUGCUUGGACAGGAAAAAACAAUGGCAAAAGUAAACACCUCUCAACAGAUAGCUAGUCCUGCCUGCAGGGUCUUUGGCAGCAAGCCAGGGUCUCAUCCCAAAGCACAGCCCUCUGGCUGAGGACGUGCUGUUGCCAAAGCCAUGGUGUGCUACUGCAAACAGAUGCAUCUGACUGACUUGGCUGUCUCCCUGCACAGUGCCAGCGCCAGGCUGCCAAUCCCUACAGAGAGCUGGUGGUGCUGCUGGUAGGCACUUUCUGACUGUACCAACACAGCUGCUGCUUUGCCUCUGCACCCUGGAAGGGUGGUGGGUGCAGUCCAGCUCUGUGACAGGCAUUUGUGGGGCACAGCCAGACUUUGCCACUGGCCAUCAGCCCUAGCACGGCCCACAGGGCCCAGAAACUGUAGCUCUCUGCCCAUCCCCUAAUGUAGCAGGCUCUGGCAUUUCAUUUCCCAAUCCUCUGCCCCCUGCAAGCCCCAGCAGCCAGAAAUGGAACCCUUAGCAUCCAGAUUCCACGUGCUUCAGAGGACAUGCUCUGACCAUGCCUGCUGUGUAGCUUAUUCUUCCAGCAGCAGCACCGCCAGCCAAAGCAUCUGUUUAGACUUGGAAAAACCCCAGGAAAGGCCAUCUUGUCCCAGAAAUCCUACUGAACCCAACUCUAUGCUGGUGAGCACCGGCAUUCCUAAAGUGGCAACCCAAAACUGAGGUGAAUGCGAGUGUUCAAGUGCUAACUGGCCAAUCUCUGCUGUUCUCAAACUACUUUUGCUGCCAGUAUACUGCAAUACUGGGAACAAGUUACCAAGAAGCAGUCCACUUCCCUCCUGAACAGGAGGGGACUUAGUCUUUGCCCACCAUCCUUCACAGCUUUUCUCCUUGUGACAUGAGAGUGCAGAGCCCCAUUCAAGAGGACACCCAUUGCCCUGAAUCCAGAGAUGGGAAAGACCUACCUUGGCCUUUACCAUUCUGCCCAGCACAACAAGGUCCUGUAUCAUCUAAAACAGCCAUCACCAUUCUGCUCACUUUGUGCAAAAUGUCAAAGAGUCAUUGAGGAGGGGGGUGGAGGAAUCAUGCUAUAGUACAGCAAAUUGUGCCAAGGGAGGUGUUCUGGACACCAAGCCAAGUUUAAAUCUCACCACUCAUCAUUAUACACCUUUGUGUUCCUGCCUCCUCUUUAGAUUUCACUCCAUGCACGUACUGGUUAUGUGGGAUUACACGCCCACAGCCUUCCUCAUUACUCUUGAGUUAAACAUAAUCAGCUACUCUGUCCAAGACAAUUCCCUGCCCUCUUCUACAUUUAUAUUCCUGUUCUGCCACACCAGCAGAGAAAGCUACAAGACAGAUGUCCUCAGCAUUGAAGGAAAUAAUUUUGGCAUGCAUUCCCAGCUAAGGCAACACAAAACCUCAUCACCCCGCACCUACCAA